rnacentral:misc_RNA from 1 species
UCCGUCUUACGACGGCAGUUCCGCUAGAGUGAUACAACUAGCAGUAGGGGUUGCGCUCGUUGACCCACUUAAGGGUACGCCUCACGGUACGAGCUGACGACAGCCAUGCAACACCUGUGCAAAUUCCGGACUGGAUACCGGUCGCUCCCCUUUCGGUUCGCUACUAUAAGCAUGUCAAGCCUAGGUAAGGUUCUUGGGUUAUCAGCCAAUUAAAGAGCAUGCUCCACCGCUUGUGCGGGUCCCCGCCAAUUCCUUUGAGUUUUAAUCUUGCGACCGUACUCCCCAGGCGGCCUGCUUAACGCGUUAGCUUCAACACCCAACAAAAGUCGGGCAUCUAGCAGGCAUUGUUUAGGGCGUGGAGUAC